CGACCAUUCCCCCGUGUUUGGGACAUUUGAGGUUGGAGUUACCUCCCAGUUCAUCUCCAAGAAAGGGCUCUCAAAGACUUCAGACCAGGCCUACAUUGAGUUUGAGAGCAUCGAGGCCAUUGUGAAGACAGCCAGCCGCACCAAGUUCUUCAUCGAGUUCUACUCUACCUGCCUGGAGGAAUACAAGAAGAGCUUUGAGAAUGAUGCCCAGAGCAGUGACAACAUCAACUUCCUCAAAGUGCAGUGGUCUUCACGCCAGCUGCCCACGCCCGGGACAGGGUCUUGCAAGCAGCCUCCUGGGCAGUCGUAAGGGUUGCGGCGUGAUGUCUUCAAUAAAUUAAGUUUUAUUUGGA
rnacentral:lncRNA from 1 species